rnacentral:rRNA from 1 species
GAUGAACGCUAGCUACAGGCUUAACACAUGCAAGUCGAGGGGCAGCAGGAUCUAGCAAUAGAUUGCUGGCGACCGGCGCACGGGUGAGUAACACGUAUCCAACCUGCCGAUAACUCGGGGAUAGCCUUUCGAAAGAAAGAUUAAUACCCGAUGGCAUAAUUAGACCGCAUGGUUUGAUUAUUAAAGAAUUUCGGUUAUCGAUGGGGAUGCGUUCCAUUAGGCAGUUGGUGAGGUAACGGCUCACCAAACCUUCGAUGGAUAGGGGUUCUGAGAGGAAGGUCCCCCACAUUGGAACUGAGACACGGUCCAAACUCCUACGGGAGGCAGCAGUGAGGAAUAUUGGUCAAUGGACGAGAGUCUGAACCAGCCAAGUAGCGUGAAGGAUGACUGCCCUAUGGGUUGUAAACUUCUUUUAUAUGGGAAUAAAGUUUUCCACGUGUGGAAUUUUGUAUGUACCAUAUGAAUAAGGAUCGGCUAACUCCGUGCCAGCAGCCGCGGUAAUACGGAGGAUCCGAGCGUUAUCCGGAUUUAUUGGGUUUAAAGGGAGCGUAGGUGGACAGUUAAGUCAGUUGUGAAAGUUUGCGGCUCAACCGUAAAAUUGCAGUUGAUACUGGCUGUCUUGAGUACAGUAGAGGUGGGCGGAAUUCGUGGUGUAGCGGUGAAAUGCUUAGAUAUCACGAAGAACUCCGAUUGCGAAGGCAGCUCACUGGACUGCAACUGACACUGAUGCUCGAAAGUGUGGGGUAUCAAACAGGAUUAGAUACCCUGGUAGUCCACACAGUAAACGAUGAAUACUCGCUGUUUGCGAUAUACAGUAAGCGGCCAAGCGAAAGCAUUAAGUAUUCCGCCUGGGGAGUACGCCGGCAACGGUGAAACUCAAAGGAAUUGACGGGGGCCCGCACAAGCGGAGGAACAUGUGGUUUAAUUCGAUGAUACGCGAGGAACCUUACCCGGGCUUAAAUUGCAAAUGAAUAAUCUGGAAACAGGUUAGCCGCAAGGCAUUUGUGAAGGUGCUGCAUGGUUGUCGUCAGCUCGUGCCGUGAGGUGUCGGCUUAAGUGCCAUAACGAGCGCAACCCUUAUCUUUAGUUACUAACAGGUCAUGCUGAGGACUCUAGAGAGACUGCCGUCGUAAGAUGUGAGGAAGGUGGGGAUGACGUCAAAUCAGCACGGCCCUUACGUCCGGGGCUACACACGUGUUACAAUGGGGGGUACAGAAGGCAGCUACCUGGUGACAGGAUGCUAAUCCCAAAAGCCUCUCUCAGUUCGGAUCGAAGUCUGCAACCCGACUUCGUGAAGCUGGAUUCGCUAGUAAUCGCGCAUCAGCCAUGGCGCGGUGAAUACGUUCCCGGGCCUUGUACACACCGCCCGUCAAGCCAUGAAAGCCGGGGGUACCUAAAGUACGUAACCGCAAGGAGCGUCCUAGGGUAAAACC